rnacentral:rRNA from 1 species
UGUCAGGUGGGCAGUUUGACUGGGGCGGUCGCCUCCUAAAAGGUAACGGAGGCGCCCAAAGGUUCCCUCAGAAUGGUUGGAAAUCAUUCGCAGAGUGUAAAGGCAGAAGGGAGCUUGACUGCGAGACUUACAAGUCGAGCAGGGACGAAAGUCGGGCUUAGUGAUCCGGUGGUUCCGCAUGGAAGGGCCAUCGCUCAACGGAUAAAAGCUACCCUGGGGAUAACAGGCUUAUCUCCCCCAAGAGUCCACAUCGAC